rnacentral:rRNA from 1 species
GAUGAACGCUGGCGGCGUGCCUAAUACAUGCAAGUCGAACGAAACUUCUUUAUCACCGAGUGCUUGCACUCACCGAUAAAGAGUUGAGUGGCGAACGGGUGAGUAACACGUGGGCAACCUGCCCAAAAGAGGGGGAUAACACUUGGAAACAGGUUCUAAUACCGCAUAAUCAUAGUUACCGCAUGGUAACUAUGUAAAAGGUGGCUAUACUACCGCUUUUGGAUGGGCCCGCGGCGCAUUAGCUAGUUGGUAGGGUAAAGGCUUACCAAGGCAAUGAUGCGUAGCCGAAUUGAGAGGUUGAUCGGCCACAUUGGGACUGAGACACGGCCCAAACUCCUACGGGAGGCAGCAGUAGGGAAUCUUCCACAAUGGGCGAAAGCCUGAUAGAGCAACGCCGCGUGGGUGAAGAAGGUCUUCGGAUCGUAAAGCCCUGUUGUUAGGGAAGAAAGUGCGUGAGAGUAACUGUUCACGUUUCGACAGUAUCUAACCAGAAAGCCACGGCUAACUACGUG